rnacentral:rRNA from 1 species
CUGCGGCAGCCUAAUACAUGCAAGUCGAACGAUACUACCGGGCUUGCUCGGUAGGAAAGUGGCGCACGGGUGCGUAACGCGUAUGCAACCUACCUUAAUCAGGGGGAUAGCCCGAAGAAAUUCGGAUUAACACCGCAUAAAAACACAGGAUAGCAUUAUCCAAUGUUCAAAUAUUUAUAGGAUUAAGAUGGGCAUGCGUGUCAUUAGCUAGUUGGCGGGGUAACGGCCCACCAAGGCGACGAUGACUAGGGGAUCUGAGAGGAUGACCCCCCACACUGGUACUGAGACACGGACCAGACUCCUACGGGAGGCAGCAGUAAGGAAUAUUGGUCAAUGGAGGCAACUCUGAACCAGCCAUGCCGCGUGCAGGAAGACAGCCCUCUGGGUCGUAAACUGCUUUUAUUCGGGAAUAAACCUACUUACGUGUAAGUAGCUGAAUGUACCGAAGGAAUAAGGAUCGGCUAACUCCGUGCCAGCAGCCGCGGUAAUACGGAGGAUCCAAGCGUUAUCCGGAUUUAUUGGGUUUAAAGGGUGCGUAGGCGGCUUAUUAAGUCAGGGGUGAAAGACGGUGGCUCAACCAUCGCAGUGCCCUUGAUACUGAUGAGCUUGAAUGGACUAGAGGUAGGCGGAAUGUGACAAGUAGCGGUGAAAUGCAUAGAUAUGUCACAGAACACCGAUUGCGAAGGCAGCUUACUAUGGUCUUAUUGACGCUGAGGCACGAAAGCGUGGGGAUCAAACAGGAUUAGAUACCCUGGUAGUCCACGCCCUAAACGAUGAAUACUCGCUGUUAGCGAUACACAGUUAGCGGCUAAGCGAAAGCGUUAAGUAUCCACCU